rnacentral:rRNA from 1 species
AUGCGGGCGACCCGAGAUAAAACUCCAGCUGGGAUCCUGGGACCAUCGCCGGGCGAGGCGAAAAUGGGGAGAGGAGCCGGCCGCGUUUUGCUGAUCGCCAUGGCGCUCCUCCUCGCGCUGCACACCAGGCCGGCGUCGGCUCUCACCAAGUCUUACUUGGUGAUGGCCAGCCAACGGCCGGCCUCUUGGUCCGAUCUGCUCACUCAAAUCACCAGCCAGUUCCGGAUACUCUAUACCUUCGAACCAAUCAACGGGAUCGGGCUGCAGAUCGACACCGUUUUCGUACCACACCUUAAACUGCUCACAGGGAUACUGGUGAUCGAAGACAAGCUUCGGCAGGUCAGCACGACCCACUCGUGGGGGUUCCUAGGCCUCAAGGGAUCAGACGGCGAGACAGCCAACGAGUGGAACAACGUCCCCAACUCCGGCGAGGGAGUCAUCAUCGCCAAUGUCGACACGGGUGUAUCCCCAAUAUCUCCAAGCUUCAGGGACGACGGCAGCUUGCCCGCCUUAUCGAAGUCGCGUUGGCGUGGCGAAUGUGAAGCCAGCCCCGGCUGCAACAACAAGUUGAUCGGCGCGAGGUUGUUCAACGAGGGCAUCAAGGCGAUGAACAAGGAGAAUGGCGGCGUCAACGGCCAGCAGCUGAACGAGACCGAUCUGAACUCGCCGUGGGACUACGUGGGGCACGGAACGCACACGCUGUCCACCGCUGGCGGCGGCUUCGUAGCCAAUGUCGGCGCCUUCGGCCACGGGACGGGCACGGCCAAGGGCGGCUCGCCGCGGGCGCACGUGGCCUCGUACAAGGCGUGCUUCGCGCCAGGGUGCUCCGACCUGGACAUCCUCAUGGCCAUACUCACCGCGGUGGCGGACGGCGUGCAGGUGCUCUCGCUCUCCCUCGGCGCCCCGGCGACCGACUAUGUCUCCGACAUGAUGGCGAUUGGCACGGCAUUCGCUGUCACCCAGGAGGUUGUCGUCGUCGCCGCUGCCGGUAACUCGGGCCCGGUGGCUGGCUCGGUCACGAAUGUGGCUCCGUGGAUGCUCACGGUGGGUGCGAGCACCAUGGACAGAAUCUUCCCCGCCGAUGUCGUCACCGGUGCCAAGACUAUCACGGGACAAAGUCUAUCAAACAGCACCUUGCCUGCCAACGAGCCAAUUGCGAUGAUCAGCGGGGAGAAGGCCAAUUCUGCAGGACAAUCUGUAGCCAACUCGGUGCUGUGCUUGCCGGGCUCCCUGGACCCUGCCAAGGUAGCGGGUAAGAUAGUUGUGUGCAAGGGAGCGAGAGGCCGAGCCGCCAAGGGGCAGGUGGUGAAGCAGGCCGGUGGCGUCGGCAUGGUACUCUGCAACGACGCCACUAGCGGAGCCAGCAUCAUCACCGACCCGCAUAUCAUCCCGACGGCUCACUGCUCCUACUCCCAGUGCCAGGAGCUCUUCAACUACCUCCAGUCCACCGGAUCGCCGAUGGGUUACAUCAAGACGAGGGACGCAGAGGUGGGUGUGAAGCCAUCGCCGGUGAUGGCAGCAUUCUCAUCCCGUGGGCCCAACACCAUCACCCCUCAGAUCCUCAAGCCUGACAUCACGGCGCCAGGCGUGGGUGUGAUCGCCGCUGUAAGUCAGGAGGUCUCGCCGACCGGCCUGGUUUCCGAUGGCCGCCGUGUCCCCUACAGCGUAAUGACCGGAACCUCCAUGGCGUGCCCUCACGUGGCAGGAAUCGCCGGCCUGCUCAGGGCAAGGUACCCGAAAUGGGGCCCUCCCAUGAUCUAUUCCGCUAUCAUGACCACCGCCACAACGGAAGCCAACGAUAACACCAGGAUCCGGGACGAGACGGGCAGUGCCGCCACGCCGUUCAGCUACGGUUCGGGCCACGUUGACCCAGUAAGGGCCUUGGACCCGGGCCUGGUGUACGACACCACGACGCACGACUAUGCCAACUUCAUUUGCUCACUGAGGCCCACCGACACCCAGGGCCUGCUCCCGGUUUCCCUCCCACUACCACUCAGCAUACUCUGGACUCUGCUCGCCCGUGUGUUCCGCGACACCAACUCCAACCCGUUCGAGUGCAGCCAUGGCGCCAACCACCCCGAGGAUCUCAACUACCCGUCCAUCUCUGUGGCCUGCCUGCCCCAUUCCGGUAGCGUUGUCACCGUGAAGCGCAGGGUCAUGAAUGUUGGUGGCGGGGCGGCGUCGUACACCGCCAGCAUCAUGCAGCCGGCCGGGGUCACGGUCACUGUGAACCCCAGCACGCUGGUCUUUGAUGGUGAGAACGCAGAGGAGGAGAAACACUUCACGGUGACACUUCAAGUCCACAACGCCGAGGAGGCUGCCGGUUACGUGUUCGGCAGCAUGGAAUGGUCGGAUGGGAACCACCGCGUCAGGAGCCCCAUUGUGGCCACUACCAAGUGUGUCUAG